UACGGGGGGUGCGAGCGUUGUCCGGAUUUAUUGGGCGUAAAGAGCGUGUAGGCGGUCUGGUAGGUCCGUUGUGAAAACUCGAGGCUCAACCUCGAGACGCCGAUGGAAACCCUCAGACUAGAGUCCGGAAGAGGAGAGUGGAAUUCCUGGUGUAGCGGUGAAAUGCGCAGAUAUCAGGAAGAACACCGGUGGCGAAGGCGGUGGGCUGGGCCGGCACUGACGCUGAGGAGCGAAAGCGUGGGGAGCGAACAGG
rnacentral:rRNA from 1 species